ensembl:snRNA U1 U1 spliceosomal RNA
ACUCAGACCUGGCAGGGAAGAUACAGUACCAUUCUUGUAAGAGUGGUUUUCCCAGGGUAAGGCUCAUCUAUUGCACUUCAGAUGAGCUAACCCCUGUGAUUUCCCCAAAUGUGGGAAAAUCAACUGCCUAAAUGGGGGACUGUGUUUCUGGUUUCCCCUG